rnacentral:rRNA from 1 species
UACGUAGGGGGCUAGCGUUGUCCGGAAUCAUUGGGCGUAAAGCGCGUGUAGGCGGUCCGGUAAGUCCGCUGUGAAAGUCGGGGGCUCAACCCUCGAAUGCCGGUGGAUACUGUCGGGCUAGAGUGCGGAAGAGGCGAGUGGAAUUCCUGGUGUAGCGGUGAAAUGCGCAGAUAUCAGGAGGAACACCAAUUGCGAAGGCAGCUCGCUGGGACGUUACUGACGCUGAGGCGCGAAAGCCAGGGGAGCAAACGGG